GACGAACGCUGGCGGCGUGCUUAACACAUGCAGGUCGAACGGAAAGGCCCUGCUUUUGUGGGGUGCUCGAGUGGCGAACGGGCGAGUAACACGUGAGUAACCUGCCCUUGACUUUGGGAUAACUUCAGGAAACUGGGGCUAAUACCGGAUAGGAGCUCCUGCUGCAUGGUGGGGGUUGGAAAGUUUCGGCGGUUGGGGAUGGACUCGCGGCUUAUCAGCUUGUUGGUGGGGUAGUGGCUUACCAAGGCUUUGACGGGUAGCCGGCCUGAGAGGGUGACCGGCCACAUUGGGACUGAGAUACGGCCCAGACUCCUACGGGAGGCAGCAGUGGGGAAUAUUGCACAAUGGGCGGAAGCCUGAUGCAGCAACGCCGCGUGCGGGAUGACGGCCUUCGGGUUGUAAACCGCUUUCGCCUGUGACGAAGCGCGAGUGACGGUAAUGGGUAAAGAAGCACCGGCUAACUACGUG
rnacentral:rRNA from 1 species